UCGGGAAUUUUGGGCAAUGGGCGAAAGCCUGACCCAGCAACGCCGCGUGAAGGAUGAAGUAUUUCGGUAUGUAAACUUCGAAAGAAUAGGAAGAAUAAAUGACGGUACUAUUUAUAAGGUCCGGCUAACUACGUGCCAGCAGCCGCGGUAAUACGUAGGGACCAAGCGUUGUUCGGAUUUACUGGGCGUAAAGGGCGCGUAGGCGGCAAUUCAAGUCAUCUGUGAAAUCUCCGGGCUUAACUCGGAACGGUCAGAUGAUACUGCUUUGCUAGAGUGCAGAAGGGGCAAUCGGAAUUCUUGGUGUAGCGGUGAAAUGCGUAGAUAUCAAGAGGAACACCUGAGGUGAAGACGGGUUGCUGGGCUAACACUGACGCUGAGGCGCGAAAGCCAGGGGAGCAAACGGGAUUAGAUACCCAUGUAGUCCCUGAGCGGGCUGGCAAGGCGCAU
rnacentral:rRNA from 1 species